rnacentral:rRNA from 1 species
AUGGGCCUGAAUACCCUUAAGGCACCAGAUCUCAUCUGAGAAGCUAAGAAAGGAGCCCUGGUUACUACUUGAAUGGGGGACCACCAAUGAAUACCAGGCGUUGCAAGUU